rnacentral:rRNA from 1 species
AACGCGAAGAACCUUACCUGGUCUUGACAUGUACGGAAUCCUCCAGAGACGGAGGAGUGCCUUCGGGAGCCGUAACACAGGUGCUGCAUGGCUGUCGUCAGCUCGUGUCGUGAGAUGUUGGGUUAAGUCCCGCAACGAGCGCAACCCUUGUCAUUAGUUGCCAUCAUUUAGUUGGGCACUCUAAUGAGACUGCCGGUGACAAGCCGGAGGAAGGUGGGGAUGACGUCAAGUCCUCAUGGCCCUUAUGACCAGGGCUUCACACGUCAUACAAUGGUCGGUACAGAGGGUAGCCAAGCCGCGAGGUGGAGCCAAUCACACAAAACCGAUGUAGUCCGGAUUGCACUCUGCAACUCGAGUGCAUGAAGUCGGAAUCGCUAGUAAUCGCAGUCAGC